UGGGCCAUGCAUGCAGGCCUUAUUGGUGCACACACCAACAUCUACUUGAAUGGUUGAUCUGGACAAAUGAACUGGGCUCUGGAAAUUAGCUAUUUGUCACUUUUUGAUUGAGAUUACUACAGCUUUGGGUGAUCGAAGGGGACUCCAUGACUAAGAAAAUCUAAAGUCAUCACCUCACUCACUCUAAGAAGGUUAUGAGCAUGUCCUACUUGGUUUGGAAGCGGAUGACCUUGUGCCUCAAGCACAAAACCUACUAGAGAAAUUCGACCCAUCCAAACUAAUCCUCCAUGUCAGGACCAACAAUGUCAAUGAAGACCCUGAUGAACUGGGUAAAGCACGGUAUUCGACAGGAGUUCAUGAUCCACACCAAAUGCCACCAUAUUUCAUUAUACGAUGAACCUUGACAACCUACAGAGGGUGCAGUAAAUAAUCAUAUAUUUCAGUAUAAUGUCUAAUCAGGCACUGUGCUCUGCAAUAUCUUGAAUCAUGUUUCAUGCACUAGUUUAUUUAGUAAACUAUGCUACUAGCCCAUAUUAGUGAACAGUUUCAACCAAGCGAGAAAAAUAACCAGUAAGAUGUGUAUUGUAAUAACUCAAUAAUGGUACUACGGAAUUACAGCACAUUUUUGUUCCUUCCGGAAUUCUUUAUAAAUGUUGCCAUAGCAUUUGCCUCUUUUUAUUCACUAAAAACUCCAUUUGAUAACAUUUUUAAAUGGCAGUGGUAAGGUGUUACGUUAUUCUCAUCUGUCACCCAAACUCACCAAAAGUCACCAUUUUUGCCACCAAAACUGAGAAAGCAGCUCUUUUAAUUCUAUUUAUACAGCUCUUUUGCAGGCAUUUUAAGGCAACUCUCUGCUGUGUUUCUUUGCUUUUACAUGUACGUAAAACUGAGUUUGAAAGUAUGAACUCCCCCUUCCAAAAAAACAACACAGGGCCUUUUUCACAGACCAAAUUAUUUGUCGGCCAGAUGACACGAUGAAAUUACCACUGGUAAAGUUCACAUCAGGUCAUCCCAAUGCAUUAACCCCCUCCCCCACGCCUUCAUUGUCUUCUUUCAAUUAAAAGGACCAUAGCCCCUGGUGUUCUUGAAUCAACUGCGGAAAUAAUAAACCUUUUUCCCAAUCAAGUUGACACAAAGGCUACUCCUAAAUUCCCAGCUUGCAGCUGUUUGUCCAUAGACAAAAAAGAAAAUAACCAUUAAAAGUGAGAUUUCUUUGGAAGAAGUGUCCCCCAAAAGAUCCCUCAUUCUUAUGAUUGCUACCCCUUGUCUCCCUCAAAUCUGGUCACCAGAGGAUAUUGCCUGAAAUUUAGAAAGAAUUAAAUGACAAGGACAUGGUGUGUAUGUUGCCUCUAUCCCUCUAGGGAUAUUCUGAAAACUAAACAGUCUUUUUUUUUUCAAUGAGUCUGGGCCAAAGGGUGAUAAAGAUCAACUACCUUACAAUCUGCCUGAAAUCAAUCUUUUACUCUGGUGCAACACCUCUAUCCACAAGAUAAAUUGGACAUUUAAAAAAAAACCAAAAACUUCCUUGAAAUGUUAGAGACAUUUAAGAAUGUUACUGGAGAAAGCUGUUUGGGAUUAAUUAGAAAAAGUAGAGUUAAGUUGUCAAAAAUAAGUUUGACUCAUAACUAACCUGACCAUAACAACUACAUUUAUGAAACCAGAACAAUUCCCAUAAAUAUCACAGCAUCAUAAGGGUAUGUUUUGUUCUUUUGUAAGACUUACAGGAUAGGAAGGGAAUAGUAUGAAAUCAUGAUAAAUAUGGAAAAUAGAGGUAACAAUGAAGUAUUGUUAGUGAUAAUGACAAAACAUCAAAGUGCUCCAUUGAGCCAGCUUGGAAAUUGUGAUAUUAUCUUUCUGAACAGCCAAUGGCAAUAGAGCCACUGCAUUUAGCAUCAGCAUUUAUUUCCCCCAAUCCCCUUUACCAGAGAGGACAAUGGUGAUGUCGCACAAAAAGGGAAAAGAAUUGAGAAUGGACGGGUGCUGGAAAUUCCUCCAUGAAUAUUGGCCAAUUAAAUGGAAAUUGCUAAAUGUGAAUCACACCUUUUAAUCUGUAUUGAACAUUGAGUGGGGUGACCUGUGGGGAAAAAAAGGAAGAAACUGCAAAUCCAAGUUGUAAGAAAUUUAUUGAGGUAUAACAGCAUUUGCCACAUUACUCUUAAGAGUGGAUUCAAGAAAUGCAAAUGUAAGCCUCUCAUUCUGAAUGAGUAACUGGAUUAAUUGAUUUUAUCCAACCUUCAUGUUGUUGUU
rnacentral:lncRNA from 1 species